rnacentral:rRNA from 1 species
UACGGAGGGUGCAAGCGUUAUCCGGAUUCACUGGGUUUAAAGGGUGCGUAGGCGGGCAGGUAAGUCAGUGGUGAAAUCCCCGAGCUUAACUUGGGAACUGCCGUUGAUACUAUCUGUCUUGAAUACUAUGGAGGUAAGCGGAAUAUGUCAUGUAGCGGUGAAAUUGCUUAGAUAUGAACAUAGAACACCAAUUGCGAAGGCAGCUUGCUACAC